CYGGUUGAUCCUGCCAGAGGUCAUUGCUAUCCGGGUUCGACUAAGCCAUGCGAGUUGUGAGGGGUAAGCCCUCGGCGAACUGCUCCGUAAYACGCAGCCAACUUACCGUUAGGAAGAGGAUACCCUCGGGAAACUGAGUUCAAUACUCUAUAGGCAUUACGUGCUGGAAUGCUGCUAUGCUCAAAGCCGCAAGGCACCUAACGAUAGGACUGCGACCUAUCAGGCUGUUUAUGGUGUAAUGAACCAUAAAACCGAUAACGGGUACGGGCUAUGGAAGUAGGAUCCCGGAGAUGGACUCUGAGACAUGAGUCCAGGUCUUACGAGACGCAGCAGGCGCGAAAACUUUGCAAUCUGCUAUCGCAGGACAAGGGAACCUGGAGUGCUCUAGCAUUGCUAGAGCUUUUGCUUUCUGAAAAUAGGAGAGAGAAUAAGGGGUGGGAAAGACGGGUGCCAGCCACCGCGGUAAUACCCGCACCCCUAGUGAUGACCGAGGUUAUUGGGUCUAAAGCGUCCGUAGCCGGUUUGAUAAGUCCCUGGUGAAAUCUUCUAGAAAACUAGAAGGCGUGCUGGGGAUACUGUUAGACUUGAGACCGGGAGAGGGUAAGGAUAUUCUUGGGGUAGGGGUAAAAUCCUGUAAUCCUAAGGAGAUCACCAGUGGCGAAGGCGUUUACCUAGAACGGGUCUGACGGUGAGGGACGAAAGCUUGGGGAGCGAUUGGGAUUAGAUACCCCAGUAGUCCAAGCUGUAAACGAUGCUCGCUUGGUGUUGCAAGCUUCUCGGGAGCUUGCAGUGCCGGAGCGUAGGUGUUAAGCGAGCCACCUGGGAAGUACGGUCGCAAGGCUGAAACUUAAGGGAAUUGGCGGGGGAGCACACAAGGGGUGAAGGCUACGGUUUAAUUGGAUUCAACGCCGGG
rnacentral:rRNA from 1 species